UGGGCCCCUGGAGAUGCUGGAGGUGUGGCUGCUGUGUCACACGUGCGUCAGUAGGUGGCAGAGAAGAGAGACUGUCUAUACUUGGUGUUCUGACCUAUGAACAUCUAACUGAUUAGAAGUCUAACAUU